rnacentral:rRNA from 1 species
GAGUUUGAUCCUGGCUCAGGAUGAACGCUAGCGGCGUGCCUAAGGCAUGCAAGUCUAACGGGUCUUGACACCGAGGCAACGGUAACCUUCGGGUUACCCGCGCUUCACCGUUGAGACUAGUGGCGAACGGGUGAGUAACGCGUAGGAACGUACCCCCAAGACGGGAAUAACCCACCGAAAGGAGGGCUAAUGCCCGAUAGUCUCAUCUCACAGUUGUGUUGAUGAGUAAAAACUUUGGUGCUCGGGGAUCGGCCUGCGUGCUAUCAGCUAGUUGGUGAGGUAACGGCUCACCAAGGCGACGACGGCUAGGGGGCGUGAGAGCGCGUACCCCCACACAGGGACUGAGAUAAGGCCCUGACUCCUACGGGAGGCAGCAACCGGGAAUCUUGCACAAUGGACGAAAGUCUGAUGCAGCGACGCCGCGUGUGGGAAGAAGGCCUGCGGGUUGUAAACCACUGUGGUAGGGGAAGAAGGACCGCUUUGCGGUCUUGACGGUACCCUACUAGAAAGCGCCUGCUAAUCGCGUGCCAGCAGCAGCGGUAAAACGCGGGGCGCAAGCGUUAUCCGGAGUUACUGGGCGUAAAGGGUGACGCAGGCGGAUUGGUAAGUUUUCGGUUAAAUACCCCGGCUCAACCGGGGCGCGGCCGGGAAAACUGCCAGUCUAGAGGACGAGAGAGGGUGCCGGAACGCACGGUGUAGGGGUGAAAUCCGAUGAUAUCGUGCGGAACACCGAUAGCGAAGGCAGGCACCUGGCUCGUUCCUGACGCUGAUGCACUAAAGCUAGGGUCGCGAAGCGGAUUAGAGACCCGCGUAGUCCUAGCUGUAAGCGAUGGACACUAGCCGUACGGGGUAACCUGUGUGGCGGAGCUAACGCGUUAAGUGUCCCGCCUGGGAAGUACGAUCGCAAGGUUGAAACUCAAAGGAAUUGACGGGGAGGCGCACAAGCGGUGGAGCAUGUGGUUUAAUUCGAUACAAAGCGAAGAACCUCACCUAGGCUUGACAUGCUAGUAGUAGGAACCUGAAAAGGGGACGACUGGAUUUAUCCAGAGCUAGCACAGGUGCUGCAUGGCCGCCGUCAGCUCGUGUUGUGAAAUGUACCCUUAAGUGGGGUAACGAGCGCAACCCCUGCCGUAUGUUAUAUGUAUCAUGCGGGACUGCCCGGGUUAACCGGGAGGAAGGUGGGGACGACGACUGGUCCGUAUGGCCCUUAUGCCUAGGGCUACACACAUCCUACAAUGGCUGGUACAACGGGUUGCGAAGUCGCAAGGCGGAGCUAAUCCUUCAAAACCAGUCUCAGUUCGGAUUGGGGUCUGCAACUCGACCCCAUGAAGCCGGAAUCGCUAGUAAUCGCGGGUCAGCCAGACCGCGGUGAAUACGUUCUCGCCUCUUGUCCAUACUGCCCGUCAACUAAGAGAAGUCGGGAGUGCCCGAAACCCCUGCCGUUAAAGGGAGGGUCUGAGGCAAAACCGGCGACUAGUGGUAAGUCGUAACAAGGUAGCCGUA